rnacentral:pre_miRNA from 1 species
UGUUAAAAUUUCAUCCAUUUGUACAGUUAAAACUGACAUGGCUGACGAAAUAACCAAACAGUUACAUGUGGCGUGCCACGUAUAACUCACGCUGAUGUACAAGGACUAGUUUUUAAUAGUAAAAAUGGACAAUUUUUAACA